rnacentral:rRNA from 1 species
AACUUUCAACAACGGAUCUCUUGGCUCUGGCAUCGAUGAAGAACGCAGCGAAAUGCGAUAAGUAAUGUGAAUUGCAGAAUUCAGUGAAUCAUCGAAUCUUUGAACGCACAUUGCGCCCGCCAGUAUUCUGGCGGGCAUGCCUGUUCGAGCGUCAUUACAACCCUCAGGC